AGGGUUAUUCCCUUUUGCGCACCCUGGCAGGCCUUGAGAAUGGAAUUGACACUGGAGGUGUUCUUUCCUCCCGAAAACCGCCUGUGCCUCGGACCUCCUUCCCCGCAAGGUUGUGAAGUGUGGUCUGUGCUCGUCAGGGUUCCUUCCAGGAUUUACUCACCGGAUAAGAAGUCGGGAGGCUGAGGUCAGGCCCAGCUUGAGUCAUGGUCAUCUUCUGGGAUCUUAGCUUCUUCCUGUAAGGGGUUGGAGCUACAUAAGUCCUGGCAAAGAUGAAAGCUCACCAUGAUGAAGGUGGAGGAAGAUUUGGAAAGUAGGACCCAAGAAUUACUGAACUAUAACCUACCCUGGAAGCUUCCAUGCCGAAGUUGAGAACUUCACACCUGAUCAUCAUCUCCAGGGACUCAGUAGACAAGUCUGUGGCUAUACACACAGAGGCACAUUGGAAAUGCAAUAGAAAACAGCUGCCAGUUUCCAGCCAGAAGUUGGAAAAGCAAACCCAAAUGUACAGCAAGAGAGCUUCAGGUUGGACCAGCUCCUUGCAGGACUGAGACCAGAAACCCAGGCUUCUGUGGCCUGCUCUCCCGUGAUGUGGCAGAAGGCUGGCAGGUUUGUCAGUCCUGGAGCCUGGCCUGGGCCAUCACUUCUUGUUUCUCCACCUUUUCCAAGCCAGCCGACUCCCUGGACCUUUGGUUUUCCUGUGUGCGAAUGAAUGAAUGAAUGAAUGAAUGAAUGAAUGAGCCUGGAGGGAAAGCACCAAACGGGUCCCGGACACGGGGUGAGCGCUCUGUGGUGUGAUGUGGAGUGGACAGGCCCCCCCCCCCCCCCCGAUUCUCUGUUCCCUUUCUGCCGCUGGCCUCCCUGAUUACUGUAGGUGCUGAAGCAAUGUCGACACAUGUCUUCCUCAUGUCAUCCCUGGUACUUGCUUAUAGUCGCAAAGUUCCAGCUACUCCUCAUUUGGACCUCGGUCCUGCUAGAUGUCUAGCUGUUAGAGGGACUGAUGGCCCCUCAGCGGUGAGGUGCUAGUGAUUCCUGACUAUCAUCCCUACAGACAGAGUUUGGAAUAGGAACGUUUUGGUUUGUAUUCUGUUCGGCAGUAAAGGUGCCGGGAGCUACAGGGAUGUCUCUCUAACUGUGGAAUGUAGGCAUCACAACUCAUUUCUUUCUUAGUGGGGGAGGGAGUGGGAAACCUUUCAAGCCAUAUCCUAAGUUAGCUUGUGAAUCCCUCCACUCAGCUCCAUCUCUUCUUGUACCAGGUUGACAUAGUGUCCCGCACAAUUCCGGUGAAUUCUAUGUGACACCUGAGGACAUGACAUAAGGUCUGUAAGGACAUAGCCAAGUGGGGAUGAGGUUGUACUGGACUGUGGUGGGCCCUAACUCCCACACGCUGAUGGCCUGGUGAGAAGAGGGUUCUCUGUACCCAAGGACGGAGCGGGCCAUGCGGAACAGGGAGACACGGCAGUGGUGCCAUCUACAAGCUAAAGAAGGACAAGGUACUGACGAAUACCACGGGCUGCAAAACGACCCUCUCCCAGAGCCUGCAGAUGGAGCAGGGCCCUCUCAACACCUGGACUUAGCCCUCUAGAACCUGGAGAGAAGAAGGCACUCGGUUGGUGGGACUUUGGGAGAUGCCCAGGGCGGGCCCAGCAACAAGGACAAUGUUGGAGGGUAGGGCAUGGAGAUUGUGUCUUCGGUUGGAGCAUGUGUGUAGACCGUGAGGCGGCAGUACCAGUUGUUUCCAAGAGCCAAUGAAGUGCUGAGUGACAAAUGACCUGCGAUCAAUGGCAACAUGCCUCAUUUUCAUUAUUGCUAACUUCCUUCUGAUCCUCUCCGCGGGAAGAUUUUGAGGCUUACACAUGGAAAAGAGAGACUUCACUUAAGUGGGAACCAGACCCCCGAGGAACUCUCGGAGGCAAAGGGAGGCGACUUUCACUCAUUUCCCAUAGGGAAGAAAGGAAUUAUGAAGCUCUUCUAACUCAAGGAUCUGAGAAUGAGCUCUCUAAGCACUUGGUAAUUUAUUUCUGAAUGUUAAGGAAUAGAACUCAGCAAAAGAGGCUGAAUUUUGUGUCCAAAUAGAGGCAGCCCUUACUUGAUCAUUUGAAAUAGCAGAGAAUAGCUGUGUUGUUGACCCAGUCUGCGAGCAAACAUCUCCUGAGGGCCUGUUACAAGGGAGGCACUCUUGAUGGGCACCUGAGGAGAAAAAACAAGACUGAUCACUGCUCUUAGGCCUGGUGGGGCCAGAGACAGGCUUGCAGAUAUGUGAUGAUAGAAACGUCUAGGAAAUGCCACUUGUCCCCAUGUGAUGGGCACUCAUUUACUGCUCCUGGGUCCGCUUCUGAGACUGGUACCACUUUAGAGGUGAGCACAGGAGAGAGAGUCUGGAGGAGGCUUGUGUGACUCACCUAGUGUCCUUCAAACAAUUAAGUGACGAGGCAGAGAUUCAUCGCUGAGUGGGACCCCAAAGACUCCACUCUCUGCCCAGGAAGUGGUUAGGAGGCAGCUGGGAAUGACCUCAAAGGUUUGAUUUUCCAGCCUGGACUUCCUAGCUGCUAAUUGUGCCGCCCGGAACGUAUGACUUUAUGGCUCGGAUUUGCAGAGGCGGCAAAUGACAGACAGCACCUACUUCCUAGAGUUGCUAUGGGGAUGACAUGGCCUAAUGUGAGCAAAGUCUUCAGCGGAAAAGGGCAGCCCUAGGAUAUCAGCCGCCCUCACUGUACUUGGCCGGGGGUUACUGUGACCAGAGAGCUGUGUGUGUGUGUGUGUGUGUGUGUGUGUGUGUGUGUGUGUGUGUGUUGCUCUGGGGUCUCUUGUUGUGAGCUAGCUUGCAGAACAAGCUCUGCCUCCUGCAUAGCCCUGCUUCAGGCACAGGUCGCUUCUGAGGUCAGCAGGGAGCGGAGUGUGGGAGAGCUCCGAAUCUGGAGAAGAAGAGCAAACAUCAGUGGACUGACCUUCCUAUAGUCCCGUCAUUCAGUGACUCAGGCUUUCAGCGAGUCUGCUGAAGCGUAGUCCACCUCUGUGUGUGGCAGACAGGCUUCGCUUCACAGGGCAAGGUUAAAUAAAGGUGUGUGGAACACUUCCUUCAGCAGAAGAACCCACAGCCCGGGGGGGUUAGAGAACUAACCGCUUUUUACUAAUACCAGUGCUAUUCUGUAUCUGCCAGUAGUUGGAAACACUGGACCUCAGAUAACUUAAGCACACAAAUGCUGGCAAAGCUAAGUUUUAAGAAAAAAAUAAAUUUUUGUGAUAGGCAAUUUUGUUUGGUGCUAGAAAUUGUCUAAAGCUACUUGGACUAAUGAUGUUUUGAAAUGAAGAGCCUUGAAUUUCAAGCGAGUGCUUGGCUAACAUCUAGGUAACCUUUGGACUUUGGUUCAAAUGCCGCCUCCUCCAGGAAGCCUUGACUCUCUCAGGGUCCCUCCUCACCACUUUGCAGUGCACUGGUUUUAGCGCCCACUGUUGGGAUCUCUUUAAGGACUUUUCUCUUCUUCCUCUCGUGUCCACCACAUUCCCAGUGCCGCAGACCCACACACAAGUGUAGGCGUUAUCGGGUGCGGGGAAAUGGGAGCAGCAGGAGGAGAUGAAGAUCACUGAUAAUAGUCUUGUUUCAUAAUUUUGCAUCAAGCAGACCUUGGCCUGAUACAUUUGAAUUCAAAACUCAAUUUAUUACCAAUAUGAGCGCUCUGUAUAACAGCAAUGUCACACACGAUAACUGCCUUUCUCCAGCCACAGCUGGGAAAACCACAAAACUCAGGUGGUUCAGUUUACUUUCCUGGCAGUGGGAAGAGAAGCAGAUGUGGCUGGUCUGGGAUUAGGAGGACAAGAAGCACUGGCCCAUUUCCCCUCCAAGAAAAGUGAGUGGCCAGUGGAGCUUAGGCCUGGCCUCUGAGCCCAGGCUAGCCUCUGGGAGAGACUCAUGGGCAGGGCCAACAGCCCUCAGCCAUCUGUGCCCGUGAUAAUGAAAGUGAGCUGCUAAGGGGUUGGGGAUUUAGCUCAGUGGUAGAGCACUUGCCUAGCAAGCACAAGGCCCUGGGUUUGGUCCUCAGCUCUGGAAAAGAAAGAAAAAAAGAAAGUGAGCUUCUAAAGCUUUUGGGCAGCUUUGAGAAAAUUCCAGAGUCAAGAAGAGAUGUGGAGGGUAGAAAAUGACCUUCUUUGAUUUCCUUCAAAGCUUUUGUGCUGUUUUGGAAGACACAGCGUUCCAAAUCAGAGCAGGCAGGCUGUGAAGGUCUAGAUUUUGUUUGACAUUUCUGCUCUGGGCAGAGCAGCAUCCUCACUCUACAUUGGCAGCACCAGCCCUUUCCUUAACUCGAGCCAAGGCCCAACCACGAACUGACAGGCACAACGAGUGUUAGGAAAGUAGAGUUAUCUGUGAGCCGGAGGGUUAAGAGCACACAACUCAUCCUAAACGGAUGAGUGUGAAACGCUUGGCUGACACAGGAUGGUGAAUGUAAACCUGUCCCGUGAGAGCAUCGUGCGCCUUGCAGGCGGCUUCUUGUCUGAUUGGUCAGCUACUGCCUGAUUCCUUGAGGGAGACUGAACAGACAGACUCUGAAGGGCAUGGAGCUUUGGAACCCCCAGAUCUACAAGGACCGUGGGGCAGGACUGUGGAAGGUGAGGCGCUUCCCUGGGUUCAUGGGUGAAGUGAGCACAUGGAGGUGGGGGCAGGGAGACACAUGUGGGUUAAAAACCCCGGCUUUGCCACUGACCAGCUGGGGGACAUAAGUCCUCUCGCAGUUACCUUUCAAAUGAUUUUCCUUUACCAAUAAGUAGCACUUCACUGCUUGAAGAGUUCAAAAGUCUGGAGACUGUGUUGCUUAGAACCAUCGUCCCUUCACGGACCGCUUUGCCUCCUCCACACUUAUUGCUGGCACCAGAUUCAUGUUAUUCUUCGAGUGUUUUAUGCAACUAGACACAGAACAUACACGGUUGCCUCCCAUCUUCCACUACCCAAAAGGCAUCAUACAAUACCUGCUUGCCUUUUCCAGUUCAUAAUAUCAGACGUAAAAAAAAUCAUCUCAUUUUUUAUAGCUGCAUAUUAUGCCACUGCAUAAUAUAGUUUAUUCAGCCAGCACCCUAUGGCAUUGUUCCAGUCUCUUGCUAUGAAAAAUAAGACUAUGAUGGGUUGGAGAAGUAACCCAGGGACAAAACACUUGUCUGGAAUGCACAAAACCCUUGGGUUAAUCUCUAGAAAUAUAAAAAAGUAAAAAAGAAAACAAAACAACCCACAAUGAAAGCCCUGUACAUUUGUGUUUGACGUGUGAUCGCAUGAUUGUAGGGCUACCUUUCCUGGGCCUAAGGAGAAAUGCAUCUGUCAUUUUCAUACAGCCGGGACUAUGUGCUGCUUAAAGACUGCUUAAGGAAUUCACUUUAAUUGAAUGGUGGUUGGGAUGAUGUUAUCAUCUCACAUUAAAACAGUUUAAGGAUCAAAAUCUCACUCUCGACAUUGAACUCACUGUCAGUACAUCGCAGUCACUGAGAGCAAAGACUCAAGUCAGCUGGUCCCCUCUGAAAUUCAGCUCCCUCUCAUCCCAGGCAGCCUCCAUUUGAGUCACGAGGUUUUCUUCUUCGAGCCUCACUCGCUGUCCCCUGUAAAAUGCCCAUUUUGUCAAGUGGUUGUGAGGGUAACUGAGGCAGUACUCACGGGCAGGGGCUGGUCACCACUGUUGGAGAGAAAGCUUGCAGCCUGGUUUUGUCUCCAGGCACUCUGAAGCAGAGCGGUCCCACAGUGGGUCAGCGGUCACCUGCUGAAUCCUGUGUUUCCCAGACGCUUCGUUUCCCGUCUUCACCGGGAGGAUCUCCAGCUAAUUCUUCCGGGGUGGUGACUGCCCUUCUAAACAGGUGGUUUGAUUUUGUCUGUGGACACUGUGGAUCAUGCAAUGGAUUGUGUUUCUUUCUUUAAACCUCUGUGCUAAAAGGCUCAGGGGCAAAUUUGGUACACUUUUCUUACCAGUGUCUAGACCUUGACGAAUGACAACUAGUAAUAAACUACUUUCCUGCAAACUUGGCCGUAUUGUUGUAA